GAUGAACGCUAGCGACAGGCUUAACACAUGCAAGUCGAGGGGCAGCAUAAAAGUAGCAAUACUUUGGUGGCGACCGGCGCACGGGUGAGUAACGCGUAUGCAACCUACCUAUCAGAGGGGAAUAACCCGGCGAAAGUCGGACUAAUACCGCAUAAAACAGGGGCACCGCAUGGUGAUAUUUGUUAAAGAAAUUCGCUGAUAGAUGGGCAUGCGUUCCAUUAGGUAGUUGGUGAGGUAACGGCUCACCAAGCCGACGAUGGAUAGGGGAACUGAGAGGUUGGUCCCCCACACUGGUACUGAGACACGGACCAGACUCCUACGGGAGGCAGCAGUGAGGAAUAUUAGUCAAUGGGCGAGAGCCUGAACCAGCCAAGUCGCGUGAAGGAAGAAGGAUCUAUGGUUCGUAAACUUCUUUUGCAGGGGAAUAAAGUGCAGGACGUGUCCUGUUUUGUAUGUACCCUGAGAAUAAGGAUCGGCUAACUCCGUGCCAGCCGCCGCUGUAAUAC
rnacentral:rRNA from 1 species